GACGAACGCUGGCGGCGUGCUUAACACAUGCAAGUCGAACGGAAAGGCCCUGCUUUUGUGGGGUGCUCGAGUGGCGAACGGGUGAGUAACACGUGAGUAACCUGCCCUUGACUUUGGGAUAACUUCAGGAAACUGGGGCUAAUACCGGAUAGGAGCUCCUGCCGCAUGGUGGGGGUUGGAAAGUUUCGGCGGUUGGGGAUGGACUCGCGGCUUAUCAGCUUGUUGGUGGGGUAGUGGCUUACCAAGGCUUUGACGGGUAGCCGGCCUGAGAGGGUGACCGGCGACAUUGGGACUGAGAUACGGCCCAGACUCCUACGGGAGGCAGCAGUGGGGAAUAUGGCACAAUGGGCGGAAGCCUGAUGCAGCAACGCCGCGUGCGGGAUGACGGCCUUCGGGUUGUAAACCGCUUUCGCCGGUGACGAAGCGUGAGUGACGGUAAUGGGUAAAGAAGCACCGGCUAACUACGUG
rnacentral:rRNA from 1 species